rnacentral:rRNA from 1 species
GACAGAGGGUGCGAACGUUGCUCGGAAUACUGGGCGUAAAGCGUGUGCAGGCGGUCCCGUACAUCGGAUGUGAAAGCCCGGGGCUCAACCCCGGAAGUGCACUCGAAACCUGCGAGGCUAGAGUAUCGGAGAGGUUGGUGGAAUUCUCGGUGUAGAGGUGAAAUUCGUAGAUAUCGAGAGGAACACCGGUGGCGAAGGCGGCCAACUGGACGAAUACUGACGCUGAGACUCGAAAGCGUGGGGAGCAAACAGG